UCCGAUGUGGUGUAUCGGUAACAUAUCCGCCUCUCAUUUGGCAGACUUGCAUAUAUUGACGCGGUUGCGCGGGGUUCGAUUCCCCGCAUCGGAA